AUUGAACGCUGGCGGCAUGCCUUACACAUGCAAGUCGAACGGCAGCACGGGAGCAAUCCUGGUGGCGAGUGGCGAACGGGUGAGUAAUAUAUCGGAACGUGCCCAGUCGUGGGGGAUAACGCAGCGAAAGCUGUUCUAAUACCGCAUACGAUCUACGGAUGAAAGCGGGGGAUCGCAAGACCUCGCGCGAUUGGAGCGGCCGAUAUCAGAUUAGCUAGGUGGUGGGGUAAAGGCCCACCAAGGCGACGAUCUGUAGCUGGUCUGAGAGGACGACCAGCCACACUGGAACUGAGACACGGUCCAGACUCCUACGGGAGGCAGCAGUGGGGAAUUUUGGGCAAUGGGCGCAAGCCUGAUCCAGCAAUGCCGCGUGCAGGAUGAAGGCCUUCGGGUUGUAAACUGCUUUUGUACGGAACGAAACGGCCCUUUCUAAUACAGGGGGCUAAUGACGGUACCGUAAGAAUAAGCACCGGCUAACUACGUGCCAGCCGCCGCGGUAA
rnacentral:rRNA from 1 species